GACGAACGCUGGCGGCGUGCUUAACACAUGCAAGUCGAGCGGUAAGGCCCUUUCGGGGGUACACGAGCGGCGAACGGGUGAGUAACACGUGGGUGACCUGCCCUCAGCUCUGGGAUAAGCCUGGGAAACCGGGUCUAAUACCGGAUAUGACUCCAUGACGCAUGUUGUGGGGUGGAAAGCCUUGUGCGGCUGAGGAUGGGCCCGCGGCCUAUCAGCUUGUUGGUGGGGUGAUGGCCUACCAAGGCGACGACGGGUAGCCGGCCUGAGAGGGCGACCGGCCACACUGGGACUGAGACACGGCCCAGACUCCUACGGGAGGCAGCAGGUGGGGAAUAUUGCGCAAUGGGCGGAAGCCUGACGCAGCGACGCCGCGUGGGGAUGACGGCCU
rnacentral:rRNA from 1 species